rnacentral:rRNA from 1 species
GACGAACGCUGGCGGCGUGCUUAACACAUGCAAGUCGAACGGAAAGGCCCUGCUUUUGUGGGGUGCUCGAGUGGCGAACGGGUGAGUAACACGUGAGUAACCUGCCCUUGACUUUGGGAUAACUUCAGGAAACUGGGGCUAAUACCGGAUAGGAGCUCCUGCUGCAUGGUGGGGGUUGGAAAGUUUCUGCGGUUGGGGAUGGACUCGCGGCUUAUCAGCUUGUUGGUGGGGUAGUGGCUUACCAAGGCGUUGACGGGUAGCCGGCCUGAGAGGGUGACCGGCCACAUUGGGACUGAGAUACGGCCCAGACUCCUACGGGAGGCAGCAGUGGGGAAUAUUGCACAAUGGGCGGAAGCCUGAUGCAGCAACGCCGCGUGCGGGAUGACGGCCUUCGGGUUGUAAACCGCUUUCGCCUGUGACGAAGCGUGAGUGACGGUAAUGGGUAAAGAAGCACCGGCUAACUACGUG